CGGAAGAUCAGCGCAGAAUUCACCAGACUUGUGUCGAUGGACCUGAGCAAGUCCUUUUAUGAGGGUCUUGACAAACACGCCUCAAAGCUGCUGUAUUUGUACCGCUCGAGGCGCCAUGCAGACAUCGCAGAAAGGAGUGCCAUACUGGAGAGCCUGGAUAAAAAUGCAUCAAAUCACAGGAAGAGGGUUGCAGUACUGCUGGGGCUGCCACUGUCCAUGCGGGAGAAUCCAUCUCAGUUCUUACAGAUCCGUGAGCACACAGAUUCUGAAGAAGAGUUAAUCAAGGGCGUGACUGUUGGAAUCAGUACAGUUGUGGAUGACGCGAUGGACCCUAUUCCGUGUGACUGCGGUGAUGUAGCCCUUGUAAUGGAAGAAGUUGUCGUUCUACGCAAUCUUGGUGAUGUACCAAAUGCAUUUGUCAACUUGAUGGGAUUGCUUUAUGCACGUAACAUAAUCUACCCCACAAACUUCAAAUACACCUUUGAGGUGAUUCAGAGGCUGUUCAUGAACAUCGGAGCUGAUGCCCUAUAUGUAUAUACGUUCAAAGACCUGCAUACUUAAACAAACUGCUUAAAAUCAAAGUGCGAGCAUAGUCACAAAUAUUAACACAAGACAGUUCGGAUCAUUUUACUGACUCGGAUCUUUGAAUCUCGUUCAGCAAAAUGAACGAAUCUUUUUUGCAUCAUUUCGUUCAUUUCAGCAGAAUAAAGUUAAAAUGUUACAUGUUAAACUCCCC
ensembl:lncRNA